rnacentral:tRNA from 1 species
AGUGUCGUAGCCUAGUGGUAGUGCGGUGUUGUUGCCUGUCAGGAGGGCGUGGGUUCGAUCCCCCUCGGCACCC